GACGAACGCUGGCGGCGUGCUUAACACAUGCAAGUCGAACGGAAAGGCCCUGCUUUUGUGGGGUGCUCGAGUGGCGAACGGGUGAGUAACACGUGAGUAACCUGCCCUUGACUUUGGGAUAACUUCAGGAAACUGGGGCUAAUAUCGGAUAGGAGCUCCUGCUGCAUGGUGUGGGUUGGAAAGUUUCGGCGGUUGGGGAUGGACUCGCGGCUUAUCAGCUUGUUGGUGGGGUAGUGGCUUACCAAGGCUUUGACGGGUAGCCGGCCUGAGAGGGUGACCGGCCACAUUGGGACUGAGAUACGGCCCAGACUCCUACGGGAGGCAGCAGUGGGGAAUAUUGCACAAUGGGCGGAAGCCUGAUGCAGCAACGCCGCGUGCGGGAUGACGGCCUUCGGGUUGUAAACCGCUUUCGCCUGUGACGAAGCGUGAGUGACGGUAAUGGGUAAAGAAGCACCGGCUAACUACGUG
rnacentral:rRNA from 1 species